UUCGGCUCAAAGAGGGGGACCUUCGGGCCUCUCGCGUCAGGAUAUGCCCAGGUGGGAUUAGCUAGUUGGUGAGGUAAGGGCUCACCAAGGCAACGAUCCCUAGCUGGUCUGAGAGGAUGAUCAGCCACACUGGAAACUGAGACACGGUCCAGACUCCUACGGGAGGCAGCAGUGGGGAAUAUUUGCACAAUGGGCGCAAGCCUGAUGCAGCCAUGCCGCGUGUAUGAAGAAGGCCUUCGGGUUGUAAAGUACUUUCAGCAGUGAGGAAGGUUCAUGCGUUAAUAGCGUAUGGAUUUGACGUUAGCUGCAGAAGAAGCACCGGCUAACUCCGUGCCAGCAGCCGCGGUAAUACGGAGGGUGCGAGCGUUAAUCGGAAUUACUGGGCGUAAAGCGCAUGCAGGUGGUUUGUUAAGUCAGAUGUGAAAGCCCGGGGCUCAACCUCGGAAUUGCAUUUGAAACUGGCAGACUAGAGUACUGUAGAGGGGGGUAGAAUUUCAGGUGUAGCGGUGAAAUGCGUAGAGAUCUGAAGGAAUACCGGUGGCGAAGGCGGCCCCCUGGACAGAUACUGACACUCAGAUGCGAAAGCGUGGGGAGCAAACAGGAUUAGAUACCCUGGUAGUCCACGCCGUAAACGAUGUCUACUUGGAGGUUGUGGCCUUGAGCCGUGGCUUUCGGAGCUAACGCGUUAAGUAGACCGCCUGGGGAGUACGGUCGCAAGAUUAAAACUCAAAUGAAUUGACGGGGGCCCGCACAAGCGGUGGAGCAUGUGGUUUAAUUCGAUGCAACGCGAAGAACCUUACCUACUCUUGACAUCCAGAGUACUUUCCAGAGAUGGAUUGGUGCCUUCG
rnacentral:rRNA from 1 species